rnacentral:rRNA from 1 species
UACAGAGGUCUCAAGCGUUGUUCGGAUUCAUUGGGCGUAAAGGGUGCGUAGGCGGCGUGGUAAGUCGGAUGUGAAAUCUCGGAGCUUAACUCCGAAACUGCAUUCGAUACUGCCGUGCUUGAGGACUGGAGAGGAGACUGGAAUUUACGGUGUAGCGGUGAAAUGCGUAGAUAUCUGGAGGAACACCGGUGGCGAAGGCGGCAUCCUGGACCGACACUGACGCUGAGGAGCGAAAGCCAGGGGAGCAAACGGG